rnacentral:tRNA from 1 species
UAUAUUUUAAUGUUAAAGCAUAUAAAUUUUUGAAUUUUAAAGUAAUAGUUUGAUCUAUUAAAUAUAA